GCUCUAUUUCACUUUUCUUAGAGCCAUUGGGGGAAACAAGGAGACUUACUGAGAUGGAGAUGCCCCCCCAUUGGAAUAGCUGGAGAUGGAACAUUCUCAUAAAGCUACAUUUCUUUCAAUUUCUAUUGUUUAGCCUGUAGCCUAGCCUAGCGAGCCGCCUUCAAGUUGAUAAUAGGCCUUUUAUGUGUUGUUUAGUAUGUUGCCUAGCAUAUGACCUAGUGUGCUGCCUUCAAGCUCAAAAUAGGCCUUUAUGUGUUGUUUGAGGUAUAUAGCCUUGCAUGUAGCCUUCAAACUAAAACCUCACUAUUGUUAGAAGAUUAAUUAUGUGCUGUAUAAAAUUAUUUAUUUCCAGUGACAUUGAUAUCAAACAACAACAACAACAACAACUGAGGCAACAUGUUUGAGGCAUGUUAAUAACAGAGGAGUGAUGUACACUACACUAUGCACCUGGAAAGAGACCCGGAAACAUCGUAAUUACCGGUUAUCUCCUCCAACUCAUCGUUUUCCACACACACACACGCCAUGUUUUUCUCUGUUCUGACUGCAGCAGUGUCUUCAGCACAGAGACCUCUUCUCUGAAGAGGGUCCAGAGGCUAUCACCAAUCUGAGGAACCGCAUAUCCUUUGGUCCCAUGUUGAAAGGAGCAGAGAAUUCUUCUCUCCCGGGGGAGAUGGAUACAGCAGCUGAGAUGGAGAUUAUGCUUGUCAUCCUGGGGAUGGUGGUGGGGUGUUCGCUGAUGACGGGGACCCUGCUGCUUCUCUGGAUGGCCUAUAGACGGCGGAGGGCCGAUUGGAUGGUUUACUCAGAGUCCAGAGCGUGCUGCGGCUGCCUGCGUAGAGGAGACAUGAUCUUACCAUAGCCAAGUAGGAGACAAUGGUCAAUCACGUCAGCCUGCAGACCAGACCAGACCCUGACCAGAAUCAAUCCAAUUCACUCCUAUCAUACGUGACACCCGGGCCGAGCUUCUGUGGUCCCAUAUCUCACUCCCUUCACCGUCGCAGUGAAUGCCUUACCUUUACACUGUAGUAAUAUGACACAUAAACACAUGUACAGAACAGAUUACCUGAUGGUCGAUUAUCUUGGUCAAUUUUUUUGCAUGGUAACAAUUGCUAAUUCACCAAACAACUGUGCACAGUGAAGAUGAAUUGACGAUCAAGAGUGUUUUAUGAUCAUGUGACUUUUAACACGAUGUGUGUAUUGUGUAUACACCAUAUUAUUAUUUCUAGUCUCUUGUACUAAGUCCUCUAACCCUGCCACUAUCUGGAAGUGUUUGUUCAAAAAAAGUUUAUUAUCCUCUCAAUGAUUCUCAAUCAUCAUCUCAAGCAUGACGCAUAUUAUCAUACCAAUUCUGGCCAAUUGCUUUUAAAAACAAUACAGAUCACGGGCUACUUUCACUAAGACACCAAUGACACCGACAACUUAUUAACAUCCCUGUCUGCACUACUUCAUCAUGCACCAUCUUACCUCAAAUGCUACAACAGUUUGUUCCUGAUUUGCCACAACCUCAAAUGAUUAAACAACUUCCACAAUG